GUGGGGUGCAGUAGCACAUGCCUGUAGUCCCAGCUACUCAGGAGGCUGAGGUGGGAGGAUCGCUUGAGCCCAGGAGUUCUGGGCUGCAGUGCGCUAUGCUGAUCAGGUGUCUGCACGAAGGUCGGCAUCAAUAUGGUGAGCACCCAGGAGCAUGGGACCACCAGGUUGCCUAAAGAGGGGUGAACUGGCCUAGGUCGGAAAUGGAGAAGAUCAAAACUCCUGUGCUGAUCAGUAGUGGGAUUGCGCCUGUGAAUAGCCAUUGCACUCCAGCCUGGGCAACAUAGCGAGAACCAACUCA
rnacentral:SRP_RNA from 1 species